CUGCUCCUCCCAUCAUCUGGGGUUGCCCCGAAGUUUCCCCUCGAGAAGAGACCAUGGGCCUCUUAAGUUGAGAACUCAUGUAAACAUCAUCUCUUGACCUCUUCAUCUCGUUCUAUAACUAACCAAAAUCUCUCUCUCUCUCUCUCCCUUCAACAACAAAUCAUCAUGCUCUUGAAACUUCAAUUAAACCAAAAGAAAACCUUUCAAGGAGGGAAUGGUAAUUAAAGGAGGAAGUGGUUUUUUUUUAUUUUCUUUUUCUUUUUGCUUUUGUUUUCUUAAUUUUGCUGUGUAGAGAGAAACAGAGACAGAGGAAAGGAUUGCAAAUGCAAUGUUGUUUUAGAAUGGGAGGAUAUUAUAUAUGGGUGGGCUUUCUUCUUGUGACAUUGAAAAAUGAAA
rnacentral:misc_RNA from 1 species